GUCGUCCCCAACGGCGCCGGCGCCGGCGCCGCCAUAGAGCUCGACUUCACCUGCGGCCUAGGCGUCGGCGUCGGCGGCGCCAAGCAGUCCUACAGCUCCUACACCGCCACCGACCUCGCUCACAGCGGCUCGUCGUCGGAGGUGGGCGUGGUGCCGGAGGCCAUGUGCGGCGGCGGCGGCGCCAUCGAUCUCGACUUCACGAGGCCGAAGCCUCAACCCUACAUGCCGUACACGGCGACUCCUCCUCCGAGCCACAGCGUAGUAAGCGCGCAGAUGUCGUCGUCGGUGGUCGACGUGGGCGUGGUGCCGGAGCGGGCGGCGGCGAUGGGGGAAGGGAGGGAGGCGAGGCUGAUGAGGUACAGGGAGAAGCGGAAGAACCGGCGGUUCGAGAAGACG
rnacentral:misc_RNA from 1 species